ACCAACACUAGUAAAAAGACCAAAUUCCGUGGUCCGUCAAAAGGAGUUCAAGCCAAAAAGCCCAUGUAUCUUCAGUAUAAUCAAUAUGGAAUCCCCGAUGGAGAAUGGUCAAGAGAAUACGGGAAGCAAGUUGGGUUUUGUGCUGCUAGAAUGAACAUUAAUGUGAAAGAAUAUUCAACGUUAGAUGAACACACAAAGAAGGGGUUUUGGGAGGAGACCAAGCUUAUGUUCCACAUUAUUGAUGAUCCGGCUAAAAGGAGAGAAAAAUAUUUUCAUAUGUGUGUGGCGAAACGCUUUGGAGCUUUCAAGUCCAGGUUAACGCGGUGUUGGAUAACUAAGUAAGAAAAAAUGCCGAAACAUCAGACAGACGACAUGCCUUGGGACAUCUACAAUCAAAUCACAGAGGAUGAUUGGAAAACAUUUGUGAUGGAACGAAACAAGCCGGAGAUGUUGGUUCGUAGAGAAAAAGCAAGUAAAAGUGCAUUACAAAACAAGCACCCACAUCGCACAGGCCAAAAGGGUUAUGUUAGAAAGAGACCAAAGUGGAUAAAUGA